GGGACUGGCGGGACUGCGCGGAGGCGACUACAGACAUGUCAGGGGUACGGGGCCUGUCGCGGUUGCCAAGCGCUCGGCGCUUGGCGCUGGCCAAGGCGUGGCCAACAGUGUUGCAAACAGGAACCCGAGGUGUUCACUUCACUGUUGAAGGAACGAGAGGGCAUCUGCUGAAGUUUCAGAUUCCAUUUCUGCUCAGUAGUGGAUCAUGAAUUUGAUGCAGUGAUGGUAGGCGCUAGAAGGGCAGGCUUGCGAGCUGCAUUUGGCCUUUCCGAGGCAGAGUUUGAUACAGCAUGUGUUACCAAGCUGUUUCCUACCAGGUCACACACUGUUGCAGCGCAGGGAGGAAUCAAUGCUGCUCUGGGGAACAUGGAGGAGGACAACUGGAGGUGGCAUUUCUACGACACCGUGAAGGGCUCCGACUGGCUGGGGGACCAGGAUGCCAUCCACUACGUGACGGAGCAGGCCCCCACUGCCAUGGUCGAGGUAGAAAAUUAUGGCAUGCCGUUUAGCAGAACUGAAGAUGGGAAGAUUUAUCAGCGUGCAUUUGGCAGACAGAGCCUCAAGUUUGGAAAGGGCGGGCAGGCCCAUCGGUGCUGCUGUGUGGCUGAUCGGACCGGCCACUCAAUAUUGCACACCUCAUAUGGGAGG
rnacentral:lncRNA from 1 species